rnacentral:rRNA from 1 species
CCUACGUGAGGCAGCAGUGAGGAAUAUUGGUCAAUGGACGAGAGUCUGAACCAGCCAAGUAGCGUGAAGGAUGAAUGCCCUAUGGGUUGUAAACUUCUUUUAUAUGGGAAUAAAAUGUUUCACGUGAGGGAUUUUGUAUGUACCAUAUGAAUAAGGCACGGCCAACUCCGUGCCAGCACCCGCGGGAAUACGGAGGGUACGAGCGUUACCCGGAUUUAUUGUGUUUACAGGGAGCGUAGGUGGUUUCUUAAGUCAAUUGUGAAAGUUACCGGCUCAACCGUACAAGGGCAGUUGAAACUGGGGGUCUUGAGUGCAGUAGAGGUGGGCGGAAUGCGUGGUGUAGCGGUGAAAUGCUUAGAUAUCACGAAGAACUCCGAUUGCGAAGGCAGCUCACUGGACUGCAACUGACGCUGAGGCUCGAAAGUGUGGGUAUCAAACAGGAUUAGAUACCCCUGUAGUC